rnacentral:lncRNA from 1 species
AAAAAAAAAAAAAAGAAUCUCAUGCAUGAAAUUUCAGAGCAUUAUAUGUGCUUACGCACGGCAAUUGUACAACUUGCUUUCGUUAAAUAUCAAUGUUUGAGAAGAAAGGGAUAUAAACGACAAUAGGAAUGGAAAAUAUGGCAAACUGUAACAACCGCAAGCUUCAAUCGAGCUUUCCAAAAAGACAGAGAAAUCAGUUUUACAACAGUUGAAAAAGUUUCUGAACAAAAGGAAAACCAUUUUCAGUUUGUUUUCUUGAUGAAUAGUGUAAAUUUAAGUUUCCCAAAUAUGAAGAGAGAAAAUUUAUUUUUUCUAAAGAAGCGCUGGAACUUGAAAGCUUAAACAUUAGUGUAAGCAUUGAGUAAGAACAAGUAUUUGCCGCUUAGGUAAUUAGAACCUCCAAAAGUUCAGUAUCCACGCUUCGUUUAGAUAUAAUUCUUUUUAAGAAAGUGUUGGCUAGAAUGAUUUAGUUGAGACCAAUUAAAGGAGAGUUCUUUUAGGCACUUCUUUGAAGAAAUUCUUAUUCUAGAACAGAUCGAAAUAGAUUUCAUGUAGAUUUUAUUGAAGAAGAAAUUGUGUCGUGAGUUCUGAUCAAGAUUCACUUGGUUAUACAAGGAUGCUAAAAAGUAGUGCAACUAAUUAGAAGAAAGGCAUGUUGUGAAGGGAAGCUUUUCCAAACGUCGAUUGUGCGCGUUAAAAUGGUGGUGUUAUAAGUAUUUCGUUAGCUCUUCUGCGUUCAGUAAAUCAGAGAUACACAUCAUUACUAUGUGAUUAGAGCACAAUAGCUCCAGAUAUCAUGUCAGGUAUUGUGGAUGACAUAAUUCUAGAUGGCUCGUCAAGUUACUUGAACCAAAGAAUUGGCCUGCAUCCUAGCAGUUCUGCAAUUUAUGCGAUGUAGCUAUCAGCACAAGUUACAAGCAAUAAGAAAACUUCAUCUCCACCUUCUGGAGAGAGUUAUGGAAGCUUAGUUGUAUCACCUAUGGCAGCAAAAAUGCUCAGAUGACAUAAAUGACAUUGUAUGAACCAGCAAAUCAGAUAUAUAGACAGACACCUCGUUAGCACACGAACAAUGACGAAUACCUUAUUGAAGAACAUAAACCCAUUUCCAGGCUAUAUAUAGGUAGAAACGCCUCUAGGAUACUUAUACUCCAACCCUUUGUGGGAUUCUUACUGGAUUAUUUCCUGUUAUCAAAACGAUACAAUUGAGAGGGGAUGGUUCAUGGGUAAGCAUUUAACAGAUAGGUAUGAAUAGUCUUUUCGAAACCCUGCACUUUUGUUAAUAAAAUCUUUCCUUUACAAAGAGGAAUAUGCUCUUGCACAACCCCUAGACCUCCUUUUCGUGCUGAUAAUGUGAGUAAAGUUCUCUUGAUAUAAAGGAAAUGAAAUUAGAAACAGAAACCAUUGCUAAAAUAACCAGCCUUAGACAUUAUAACAGAGCAAGUAUAAGUAUUUCUUAUUCAAUGGAAUAUCUUUAUCAUGUUGUCACACUUGUGCAAAUGAAAAGUAUCAUGAAGCACAAAAUUUUAGCAUCCAAAUAUAGGACCAACCACAGCUAACCACAAUUGUUGCUUCAGUAAUCUUUUGUUCCAAAAUUCUUGCACCAGAGUUGAGAAGGAAUGGCCCGGACUGGAUGAUGUGGCCUUUGCUGCAAAAUAGAAACCUCGUUAUCACAUGAAUGGAGAUCAAAUAUUUUGCAAAGUGCACACACGAACUCAUACUUUAAUAGGUGGUAUGGUUGGUUGCAUAGGAAAAAAUAAUCCUAACAUAAAAUUCUGCGCAACUAAUACAACUUUUCAUUGCAAUAUAAUACUCCGCAUUAUUAAUUUAGUCUAUACAUAACUAAUACUACAAAGUUUAGCCUCCGAUAAAGAAAAAUGUUAUCUGCAUAACUAAUGCAGCAUUUGGUUACAAAUACCGACAUAACUCAUUCCUUUUCAAAAAAAAAAAGUACCAACAUGACUCAUGUAAAUCUAUAUAUUAUUUUAUAAGAAGAAAAACAUACAGUAAGAAUAUGUGCUAGAAUAAGAGUAUCCAAAGACAAAUAUUUUUUUAAUGCAGACAAUCACUACAUAAUAAUCUCGUGUUAUCAUUUGUCGUAUAGUAAUCUUUAUAUUAAGAUUUACUGCACAAAAAUCCCAACAUUAUUUGUUAUCGCAUAACAAUCUUCUGUUAUAAUCCCUGCAUAAGAAGUACAUGAAUCAAACGGCCUUAACAGUAUCAAAUCAAUAUGAAAAAAAGGAGCAAUUGAGCAACAAAGAAGAACACUGAUCAUUCUAAAAGAAUUAUAUUAAGUUGAUCAAAGGCUAGAACAACCAUUUACCUAAACAAAUAAAAAGACUCAACAAGACAUCAUCUUUGAACUGAACCUUCAAAUUGAACAAACAAACAUAAAUAACCAUUUUUUUCACGUUGACCGAGCUUGUUUUUGCUCCAGCCAGACGUCAUAUACUUUUAAAAUUUUCAAUCUAUUUACAUGUACACUUAAUAAAAAUUUUGUUUAAAAAUUGAUCAUUUUACAGCAAUUACUAAUUGAUUCAAUCCAAUACUUCUAAAAAUAUGAAUGACAAAUCAUCUAGGCUGAACUUUUUUGCAAGAAACUCUGCCAGGAGUUUUUUGCAAAAAAUAUGAAUAACAAAUCUCUACAGCGUAAUCUUUCUUUCCUCUGUCUUGCUACACCUCGACUAAUCUAUCGGGUAGCCUAUCCAGCAGCCAAGCAUUACCAAGGUAAUCUUACUCACCGAGGUUGGAGCAAAUGACUCACACUAAGUGUUACAACUGCAAUCCAAACUAGGGAUCAUCAGGUUACUACUCUCAUGUCUCAACCACUAGGCCAUCCACUAGGGGACUCGACAGAAGCAUGCAUAUUUCCCUUUCAAGUCGGCUAGUCAAGGUACAGAUCAAACAAGGGGGAGAGUUUCCCGAUGUGAUAUUAAGACUUACAUCAAGGUCUUACAAUAAACUUCUCAUGGAUAGAUGAGAUGUUCACCAAUGUCUAUAAGUAAGAUUACUGGGAAUGUCCAAAAACACUCAGAGCCUCAAGUAAAAGAUGGGUAUGAUAUUUUCUUUUUAUAAGUGAGAUGUUUGUAAUCUUACCCUACAUAAGUUGUCUCAAUUAGGUUCUCAGGCAAGUGAUCUCAA